UACGUAGGGGCCUAGCGUUGUCCGGAUUUAUUGGGCGUAAAGAGCUCGUAGGCGGUUCGGUAAGUCAGGUGUGAAAUCUCCACGCUCAACGUGGAGGCGCCACCUGAAACCGCCGUGACUCGAGUCCGGUAGGGGAGUGUGGAAUUCCUGGUGUAGCGGUGAAAUGCGCAGAUAUCAGGAGGAACACCUGUGGCGAAGGCGUCCAUCUGGCCCGUUACUGACGCUGAGGCGCGAAAGCUAGGGGAGCAAACGGG
rnacentral:rRNA from 1 species